GACGAACCGUGCGAACGUUGUUCGGAAUCACUGGGCUUAAAGGGCGCGUAGGCGGGCACGCAAGUCAGGGGUGAAAGCCCACGGCUCAACCGUGGAAGGGCCUUUGAUACUGCGUGCCUGGAGGGAGGUAGGGGCGUGCGGAACUUCCGGUGGAGCGGUGAAAUGCGUAGAUAUCGGAAGGAACACCGGUGGCGAAAGCGGCGCGCUGGACCUCUUCUGACGCUGAGGCGCGAAAGCCAGGGGAGCAAACGGG
rnacentral:rRNA from 1 species